rnacentral:rRNA from 1 species
GACGAACGCUGGCGGCGUGCUUAACACAUGCAAGUCGAACGGAAAGGCCCUGCUUUUGUGGGGUGCUCGAGUGGCGAACGGGUGAGUAACACGUGAGUAACCUGCCCUUGACUUUGGGAUAACUUCAGGAAACUGGGGCUAAUACCGGAUAGGAGCUCCUGCUGCAUGGUGGGGGUUGGAAAGUUUCGGCGGUUGGGGAUGGACUCGCGGCUUAUCAGCUUGUUGGUGGGGUAGUGGCUUACCAAGGCUUUGACGGGUAGCCGGCCUGAGAGGGUGACCGGCCACAUUGGGACUGAGAUACGGCCCAGACUCCUACGGGAGGCAGCAGUGGGGAAUAUUGCACAAUGGGCGGAAGCCUGAUGCAGAAACGCCGCGUGCGGGAUGACGGCCUUCGGGUUGUAAACAGCUUUAGCCUGUGACGAAGCGUGAGUGACGGUAAUGGGUAAAGAAGCACCGGCUAACUACGU